rnacentral:rRNA from 1 species
CGGCGUGCCUAAUACAUGCAAGUCGAACGCACUUUGUGGUUGAAAUGACUAUGAAGAACUUGUUCAGAUUUGAUUUUCAACAUUGCAAUGAGUGGCGAACGGGUGAGUAACACGUGGGAAACCUACCUCUUAGCAGGGGAUAACAUUUGGAAACAAAUGCUAAUACCGUAUAAUAAUUAAAACCGCAUGGUUUUAGUUUAAAAGAUGGUCUUGCUAUCACUAAGAGAUGGUCCCGCGGUGUAUUAGUUAGUUGGUGAGGUAAUGGCUCACCAAGACAAUGAUACAUAGCCGAGUUGAGAGACUGACCGGCCACAAUGGGACUGAGACACGGCCCAUACUCCUACGGGAGGCAGCAGUAGGGAAUCUUCCACAAUGGACGAAAGUCUGAUGGAGCAACGCCGCGUGUGUGAUGAAGGGUUUCGGCUCGUAAAACACCGUUGUAAGAGAAGAAUGACAUUGAGAGUAACUGUUCAAUGUGUGACGGUAUCUUACCAGAAAGGAACGGCUAAAUACGUG